UGUUGACAAAAUGGUUUGGUGUUAAGACAUCUGUUUACAGACCAAUGAUAAGGUUGUAGUUGCUCUUGUCUCAUGAAACUGGAGAGAAAUAUGAGGUGGAAUACUUUCCUCAGAAAGGUUUCUAUGUGGAAACAAUGAGUGCUGCCAGUACAUGAAUGGCUAAAAAAGGACACUAAACUCAUGUAUUUCUUCUUCCCCCAACUACAAGCUCGUAUUGGCCAAGGUUCACAGAGACUCCUUUAUUAAAAAGCAGCAUCUGAAGACAAACAGAAGCUCCCAUUUCACCUAUUGCUUUCUACUGAAAAGAUUUUGGAAAUGUCAGAGGGAAUUUCUUAUUUCUACAAUGACUGUCAUUCAAUUUCAUGGGGAAGAACACAGAGAUGGAGAGGAUAGAAAUGGCUCUGGGAACAUUACCAUGAAUGAAGAAGAAAAAUAAAGUCCCUGUCCUCAUGAAUGUAUUCUAGUGUGGUAAGACAACAAACUACCUCAAACUGGAUUAUUUAUAAAGAAAAAAAUAUUUCUCACAGUCCUGAAGGCCAAGAAGUCCAAUAUCAAGGUGCCAGCAGCUGUCAAGGGCCUCUUGCUGAGUCAUCCAUGGUGGAAAGACAGAAGGGCAAAGGCGCAUCCAUGAGAGAGAGAAUGGAAGCAGUUCAAAUUUAUUCUUCUAUCAGGACCCACCCUUGAGAUAACUAACUCAUUCCUAUGAUAAUGGCAUUAAACCACUCAUGGGGCAGAAGUUUCAUGAUGUAAUUACCCUUUAAA